rnacentral:rRNA from 1 species
GAACAGAUAACUGAGCUUGCUCCUUUGACGUUAGACGGCGGACGGGCUGAGUAACACGUGGGUAACCUACCUAUAAGACUGGGACAACUUCGGGAAACCGGAGCUAAUACCGGAUAAUAUGUUGAACCGCAUGGUUCAAUAGUGAAAGAUGGUUUUGCUAUCACUUAUAGAUGGANCCCGCGCCGUAUUAGCUAGUUGGUGAGGUAACGGCUCACCAAGGCAACGACUACGUAGCCGACCCUGAGACGGGUGACUCGGCCACACUGGAACUGAGACACGGUCCAGACUCCUACGGGAGGCAGCAGUAGGGAAUCUUCCGCAAUGGGCGAAAGCCUGACGGAGCAACGCCGCGUGAGUGAUGAAGGUCUUCAGGAUCGUAAAACUCUGUAUUACGGGACAGCAACAAACGUGUAAGUAACUGUGCACGUCUUGACGGUACCUAAUCAGAAAGCCACGGUAACUACGUGCCAGCAGCCGCGGUAAUACGUAGGUGGCAAGCGUCAUCCGGAAUACAUUCGGGCGUAAAAGCGCGCGUAGGCGGAUUCAACAACGUCAUGAUGUGAAAGCC